rnacentral:rRNA from 1 species
GACGAACGCUGGCGGCGGGCUUAACACAUGCAAGUCGAACGGAAAGGCCCUGCUUUUGUGGGGUGCUCGAGUGGCGAACGGGUGAGUAACACGUGAGUAACCUGCCCUUGACUUUGGGAUAACUUCAGGAAACUGGGGCUAAUACCGGAUAGGAGCUCCUGCUGAAUGGUGGGGGUUGGAAAGUUUCGGCGGUUGGGGAUGGACUCGCGGCUUAUCAGCUUGUUGGUGGGGUAGUGGCUUACCAAGGCGUUGACGGGUAGCCGGCCUGAGAGGGUGACCGGCCACAUUGGGACUGAGAUACGGCCCAGACUCCUACGGGAGGCAGCAGUGGGGAAUAUUGCACAAUGGGCGGAAGCCUGAUGCAGCAACGCCGCGUGCGGGAUGACGGCCUUCGGGUUGUAAACCGCUUUCGCCUGUGACGAAGCGUGAGUGACGGUAAUGGGUAAAGAAGCACCGGCUAACUACGUG